rnacentral:rRNA from 1 species
CAGUAGCCGCGGGAAUACGUAGGUGGCAAGCGUUGUCCGGAAUUAUUGGGCGUAAAGGGCUCGCAGGCGGUCUCUUAAGUCUGAUGUGAAAGCCCCCGGCUCAACCGGGGAGGGUCAUUGGAAACUGGGAAACUUGAGUGCAGAAGAGGAGAGUGGAAUUCCACGUGUAGCGGUGAAAUGCGUAGAGAUGUGGAGGAACACCAGUGGCGAAGGCGACUCUCUGGUCUGUAACUGACGCUGAGGAGCGAAAGCGUGGGGAGCGAACAGGAUUAGAUACCCGCGUAGUCCCUGUCUCUUAUAA